CCGCGUUGCCGCUGAACGUUAUUUUUACGAAAAUGUCGAAAAAAUCGAGAGUGAGCCAAGUUUGGGCCUAUUUUACUAAAAAAGACAAAAUAGUUAGAUGCAACCUGUGUACAGCAAAUUUAAGUUUUUGUGGAAACACCACAAAUCUUUUAAAUCAUUUAAGAUUAAAACAUAAAAACAUAAAACUAAGUGAACAUGAAGGACCCAGCGAAGAGGUACAACAUCAGGAAGCAAGUCAGGCAAAAAAAGUAUGCCAAUUGUCACUGGCAGGUUCGUUCGCACGUCCUGCAACAUUUGAAGCACAAGGAGAAAAGGGAAAGGCCAUCACGAACGCUAUAAUGUAUAUGAUAGCUAAGGACAACUUGCCGCUAAACACCACUGAAAAAACAGGCUUUAAACGACUAAUGAAAACGAUAUGCCCGUUAUACAAGAUGCCUGCCGAAACUCAAUUAACGGAGUUGAUGCAAAAAAAAUGCUGUGCGAUGAAGGAAUUAAUCAGAACCAAAUUGAAAACUGCUGGAUCAGUUUGCCUGACAACAGACAUUUGGACAGAAAUGAUGAAUGUAAAAAGUUGUCUUGGAGUAACAUGUCAUUUCGUCUCUGAAAAGGUGAUAUCAAAUAUCUUAAAAUAACAAUAUAGUUCACUCUCGAAUUUCCCAUAUAUUCCGGUGAAGACAGACAGGGAACACCCCCUCUUGUGGUGAAAAAGGUAACUAAACUCAUUGCACAGUGGUACAGUAAGGCAAUUUAGGCGGACAUAGGCUUUUCGUUGCGAUUUUGGUUUGCGGUUUAAAGCCAUAGUUUUUGUAAAAAGUUGUUUCUUAUACAUAGUCCUCGAUUCAUGUGCGAAUGAAAAUUAGGGUGGUCCUAAAAUCAACGAAAUAAAACAUUCUUUGGCAAACUUGUAGACCAACUAAUUCUAAGUAACUUUGUAAAAAAAAUAAAUACAUAGUUUAAAUAUUUUUAUAAACAUUGCUAAAUAGUGUAUAAAAUCAUAAAAAAUAUUCUGUCACGUCGUGUCCUAGACUUCACCAGUAG